GAUGAACGCUGGCGGCGUGCCUAAUACAUGCAAGUCGAGCGAACAGAUGAGGAGCUUGCUCCUCUGACGUUAGCGGCGGACGGGUGAGUAAAACGUGGAUAACCUACCUAUAAGACUGGGAUAACUUCGGGAAACCGGAGCUAAUACCGGAUAAUAUAUUGAACCGCAUGGUUCAAUAGUGAAAGACGGUUUUGCUGUCACUUAUAGAUGGAUCCGCGCCGCAUUAGCUAGUUGGUAAGGUAACGGCUUGCCAAGGCAACGAUGCGUAGCCGACCUGAGAGGGUGAUCGGCCACACUGGAACUGAGACACGGUCCAGACUCCUACGGGAGGCAGCAGUAGGGAAUCUUCCGCAAUGGGCGAAAGCCUGACGGAGCAACGCCGCGUGAGUGAUGAAGGUCUUCGGAUCGUAAAACUCUGUUAUUAGGGAAGAACAAAUGUGUAAGUAACUAUGCACGUCUUGACGGUACCUAAUCAGAAAGCCACGGCUAACUACGUG
rnacentral:rRNA from 1 species